rnacentral:lncRNA from 10 species
GAAUUGUUAGCAAGAGAAUGAGUGGAGGCGAGAAGAAAUCGCUUGUAAAGGCUAUGUGAUUCCCUGAUGACAGAUCUGAGGAAGAAUGAAGAGGCUUUGAAGAUAAAGGUAUCUUCACCUCGCCAAGAUCAACCACAUCCUGCAGAACCUUCAUUCAUUCAGCAAACAGCCAGGCUUUGUGCUAGGCCCUGGGGAAAUGGCAAUUAAGGAGACUCAGUCCCUAUCCUCACAGAACACCCCAUCUGACACGGAAAUAGCUCCUGGCCCGCAAUGUGGUAAGAUGCAGUAAUACGUGCAAGGCCCCUGACUUAGUGGCAAUGAUGUUUAAGCCGAGAUCUGAAGGAUAACUAACAACGGCGUGCCAGAGAAAAGAGUAGCGGGUGGAGAGAGGAGGCCAGGGGAAUAUUUCUGGGCUUGGUAAGUAAGCCAGGUCCCUGCCAGACAUGGACUGAGAAGAGCAAAGCCAGGAGUGACAGCUGACGAUUAUUUUUUAACUGAGGAAGGAAGAUCCUUGAGAACGGAACCUCUUGGGACCUUCUACCCAGAACACCAGAGCACCUCACUGGGAUCAGAGCCAGGCCAUCGGGUGGAUUAAGCAACUAAAAUUGAUUGUCCUGAACCAUGAGUCUGUCUGUUUAUGGGGAGAGAAACUUUGAGAUGAAUUAAUCCACAGGUCCAAUGGGACUUUGACAUUUUAAUUUGUAGAAAUAAAACUUGCCUUUGAUUUUGCCA